rnacentral:rRNA from 1 species
UACGUAGGGUGCAAGCGUUAAUCGGAAUUACUGGGCGUAAAGCGUGCGCAGGCGGUGAUGUAAGACAGAUGUGAAAUCCCCGGGCUCAACCUGGGAACUGCAUUUGUGACUGCAUCGCUGGAGUGCGGCAGAGGGGGAUGGAAUUCCGCGUGUAGCAGUGAAAUGCGUAGAUAUCAGGAGGAACACCGAUGGCGAAGGCAGGUCUCUGGGCUGACACUGACGCUCAUGCACGAAAGCGUGGGGAGCAAACAGG